CCUUGCUGAGGGCUUGGAGGGACAGCUCUCACUCAAUUUUCCAGCCUGGUAAGGCUUUGAACAUGAAACAGACGUGUCCCCGGGGCUCUUACAAAAUGAGCCACAGCAGGCUGAUGUCAGGGCAUGGAUUCAUGGGCUGCCGGGGGGUUAACAUCUCUUGCAAUUCCAAAUAAGAAAAAAGCCUGCAUUCUUCUUCAUUCCUCCCAUUUCACACAUCCCUGGCAGCUGGGUUUCCCAAUGCUUCAUUGAGGCCAAUGUGCGUGAAGGAAUGGAUCAGCAGGAGCAGGCCAUCAGGCGGCCAUUUUAAGCCCUUGGCCUCCAUCCCCACUCCCCACGCUGGGGCGAGACAGACAGGCCUUUGUGUGCCUGGAGCCGGCUAAGCCAGGAUGUGACUGUGAGCUGGAAUCUGACCUUUCAUGGGCUCCAGCACCUGUCAGAAAAACGAACAAGCUUGGGGUGUUUUUUCCGCUCCGGACUUAAAUGCCAGUUUUGUGACUCCCUCACAGUGGAACUGUGCCAAGGCAGUUGUGGUCAACUCCAGCUCUCCGAGGAGCAGACCUGAGACGUAAGUGAUGGACGGCCCCGCGUUUCUGAGGCCUGGCCAGCUCUCGGCUCAGGUUGAAUUCAAGCCGAGCCCAGGACUUCAGUGCUUGAGUUAGGAACCUCAGAGCAGAUCAAAACAGCCACAUUACUCCGGCACCCUGUGGUGCAUGUGAGUGUGUGUGUGUGCACGUGUGUGGGUGUGUGUGCAUGCAUUCAGCACUGGAACAAAGACCCAGUCACGGUGACCCUGACAUAGAUGGCUGUCCAUUCAUCAGGAGUGGGAUUAUGGAGCAGUGUUGGCACCCCCUCUGCCCACCCCGUCUUGGCCUGCUGCGGCAGUCUGAUUAUGAACAUUCUAGUCAUUCUUGGGUUGGACCCUGCCACUUGUGAUCCACAGGACCUCAGUCAAAUGACU
rnacentral:lncRNA from 10 species